rnacentral:rRNA from 1 species
GGGUUGUGAGGUUAAGCGACUAAGCGUACACGGUGGAUGCCCUGGCAGUCAGAGGCGAUGAAGGACGUGCUAAUCUGCGAUAAGCGUCGGUAAGGUGAUAUGAACCGUUAUAACCGGCGAUUUCCGAAUGGGGAAACCCAGUGUGAUUCGUCACACUAUCAUUAACUGAAUCCAUAGGUUAAUGAGGCGAACCGGGGGAACUGAAACAUCUAAGUACCCCGAGGAAAAGAAAUCAACCGAGAUUCCCCCAGUAGCGGCGAGCGAACGGGGAGCAGCCCAGAGCCUGAAUCAGUGUGUGUGUUAGUGGAAGCGUCUGGAAAGGCGCGCGAUACAGGGUGACAGCCCCGUACACAAAAAUGCACAUGCUGUGAGCUCGAUGAGUAGGGCGGGACACGUGGUAUCCUGUCUGAAUAUGGGGGGACCAUCCUCCAAGGCUAAAUACUCCUGACUGACCGAUAGUGAACCAGUACCGUGAGGGAAAGGCGAAAAGAACCCCGGCGAGGGGAGUGAAAAAGAACCUGAAACCGUGUACGUACAAGCAGUGGGAGCACGCUUAGGCGUGUGACUGCGUACCUUUUGUAUAAUGGGUCAGCGACUUAUAUUCUGUAGCAAGGUUAACCGAAUAGGGGAGCCGAAGGGAAACCGAGUCUUAACUGGGCGUUAAGUUGCAGGGUAUAGACCCGAAACCCGGUGAUCUAGCCAUGGGCAGGUUGAAGGUUGGGUAACACUAACUGGAGGACCGAACCGACUAAUGUUGAAAAAUUAGCGGAUGACUUGUGGCUGGGGGUGAAAGGCCAAUCAAACCGGGAGAUAGCUGGUUCUCCCCGAAAGCUAUUUAGGUAGCGCCUCGUGAAUUCAUCUCCGGGGGUAGAGCACUGUUUCGGCAAGGGGGUCAUCCCGACUUACCAACCCGAUGCAAACUGCGAAUACCGGAGAAUGUUAUCACGGGAGACACACGGCGGGUGCUAACGUCCGUCGUGAAGAGGGAAACAACCCAGACCGCCAGCUAAGGUCCCAAAGUCAUGGUUAAGUGGGAAACGAUGUGGGAAGGCCCAGACAGCCAGGAUGUUGGCUUAGAAGCAGCCAUCAUUUAAAGAAAGCGUAAUAGCUCACUGGUCGAGUCGGCCUGCGCGGAAGAUGUAACGGGGCUAAACCAUGCACCGAAGCUGCGGCAGCGACGCUGAUGCGUUGUUGGGUAGGGGAGCGUUCUGUAAGCCUGCGAAGGUGUGCUGUGAGGCAUGCUGGAGGUAUCAGAAGUGCGAAUGCUGACAUAAGUAACGAUAAAGCGGGUGAAAAGCCCGCUCGCCGGAAGACCAAGGGUUCCUGUCCAACGUUAAUCGGGGCAGGGUGAGUCGACCCCUAAGGCGAGGCCGAAAGGCGUAGUCGAUGGGAAACAGGUUAAUAUUCCUGUACUUGGUGUUACUGCGAAGGGGGGACGGAGAAGGCUAUGUUGGCCGGGCGACGGUUGUCCCGGUUUAAGCGUGUAGGCUGGUUUUCCAGGCAAAUCCGGAAAAUCAAGGCUGAGGCGUGAUGACGAGGCACUACGGUGCUGAAGCAACAAAUGCCCUGCUUCCAGGAAAAGCCUCUAAGCAUCAGGUAACAUCAAAUCGUACCCCAAACCGACACAGGUGGUCAGGUAGAGAAUACCAAGGCGCUUGAGAGAACUCGGGUGAAGGAACUAGGCAAAAUGGUGCCGUAACUUCGGGAGAAGGCACGCUGAUAUGUAGGUGAAGCGACUUGCUCGUGGAGCUGAAAUCAGUCGAAGAUACCAGCUGGCUGCAACUGUUUAUUAAAAACACAGCACUGUGCAAACACGAAAGUGGACGUAUACGGUGUGACGCCUGCCCGGUGCCGGAAGGUUAAUUGAUGGGGUUAGCGCAAGCGAAGCUCUUGAUCGAAGCCCCGGUAAACGGCGGCCGUAACUAUAACGGUCCUAAGGUAGCGAAAUUCCUUGUCGGGUAAGUUCCGACCUGCACGAAUGGCGUAAUGAUGGCCAGGCUGUCUCCACCCGAGACUCAGUGAAAUUGAACUCGCUGUGAAGAUGCAGUGUACCCGCGGCAAGACGGAAAGACCCCGUGAACCUUUACUAUAGCUUGACACUGAACAUUGAGCCUUGAUGUGUAGGAUAGGUGGGAGGCUUUGAAGUGUGGACGCCAGUCUGCAUGGAGCCGACCUUGAAAUACCACCCUUUAAUGUUUGAUGUUCUAACGUUGACCCGUGAUCCGGGUUGCGGACAGUGUCUGGUGGGUAGUUUGACUGGGGCGGUCUCCUCCUAAAGAGUAACGGAGGAGCACGAAGGUUGGCUAAUCCUGGUCGGACAUCAGGAGGUUAGUGCAAUGGCAUAAGCCAGCUUGACUGCGAGCGUGACGGCGCGAGCAGGUGCGAAAGCAGGUCAUAGUGAUCCGGUGGUUCUGAAUGGAAGGGCCAUCGCUCAACGGAUAAAAGGUACUCCGGGGAUAACAGGCUGAUACCGCCCAAGAGUUCAUAUCGACGGCGGUGUUUGGCACCUCGAUGUCGGCUCAUCACAUCCUGGGGCUGAAGUAGGUCCCAAGGGUAUGGCUGUUCGCCAUUUAAAGUGGUACGCGAGCUGGGUUUAGAACGUCGUGAGACAGUUCGGUCCCUAUCUGCCGUGGGCGCUGGAGAACUGAGGGGGGCUGCUCCUAGUACGAGAGGACCGGAGUGGACGCAUCACUGGUGUUCGGGUUGUCAUGCCAAUGGCACUGCCCGGUAGCUAAAUGCGGAAGAGAUAAGUGCUGAAAGCAUCUAAGCACGAAACUUGCCCCGAGAUGAGUUCUCCCUGACUCCUUGAGAGUCCUGAAGGAACGUUGAAGACGACGACGUUGAUAGGCCGGGUGUGUAAGCGCAGCGAUGCGUUGAGCUAACCGGUACUAAUGAACCGUGAGGCUUAACCUUACAACGCCGAAGCUGUU